CGUGUGGUGUCCGACCCAAGGCUCGGAUGGCGACACGGCCUAUAUCUUUGAGGU
rfam:Aeromonas schubertii strain ATCC 43700 Scaffold8, whole genome shotgun sequence.